UGCAUUCGUGUACUUAUCAGUCUAUAUCCUCCCAUUCACUCAGCCAUGCAUCCAUUCUACGUCCAUCUACCUAUCCUUCCUUCCGUUCCUCCCUCCCUCCCCGCCCUCCGUGCACCCCAUCUUCUUACUCUCUCACCCAUCUCCCUGUGCUCCUUGGCUGCUCCAUCUUGUCUCUCUGCCCUGCCCCACCUCUUUAAUCAAGCCAAUGCCGAGUCAGACGCAGGGAAGAGCCGGCUUAGACAUCUUUGCCUUCCUGAAUUUCAUGGUGGACUCAGGCCCACCUAGAGGGUCAAUCUCGGGGUGCGGGGGUCUUCAGAGAGGAUAAUUCAGGUGGCCAUGGGGUACUGGAGGGGCAGAGGGCACCACCUGGAGCGAGUGUGGGAAGCAGGAGGGGGAUGUCUGGGCUGUGGAAGUUGGAGUCUGAACACGGGAGUAUCAGGAAAAGAAUGCAUGUGGGAAGAAUGCGGCUGGCUGGGGUGAGAGUGGGAUUCCGCGCAGACUCUGGUGCAGGUCUUUGGUCAGGCGAGGCCUCCAUCUUGUGCCCAUGCCUAUUGACUCUCCAGGUCUGGAGGUAACACCAGGCCCUGGGGCCUACAGCCCAGAGAAGACACCCCCCAUACGCCAGCGGAACGCCCCAGCUUUCACGCUGGGCUCUCGCCUCCGACAGAAGCCCCCAGACACCUCUGCUCC
rnacentral:lncRNA from 1 species